rnacentral:tRNA from 1 species
GGGGCGGUAGCUCAGCUGGUCAGAGCAGGAGACUCAUAAUCUUCGGGUCGCGGGUUCGAGUCCCGCCCGCCCCA